rnacentral:rRNA from 1 species
GACGUAGGGCGCGAGCGUUGUCCGGAUUUAUUGGGCGUAAAGAGCUCGUAGGCGGCUUGUCGCGUCGACUGUGAAAACCCGCGGCUCAACUGCGGGCCUGCAGCCGAUACGGGCAGGCUAGAGUUCGGUAGGGGAGACUGGAAUUCCUGGUGUAGCGGUGAAAUGCGUAGAUAUCAGGAGGAAUACCUAUGGCGAAAGCAGGUAUCUGGGCCAUCACUGACGCUGAGCUGCGAAAGCUAGGGGAGCAAACAGG